UACGUAGGGGGCUAGCGUUGCUCGGAAUCACUGGGCGUAAAGCGCACGUAGGCGGAUCUUUAAGUCAGGGGUGAAAUCCCAAGGCUCAACCUUGGAACUGCCUUUGAUACUGGGGAUCUCGAGUCCGGAAGAGGUUGGUGGAACUCCGAGUGUAGAGGUGAAAUUCGUAGAUAUUCGCAAGAACACCAGUGGCGAAGGCGGCCAACUGGUCCGGUACUGACGCUGAGGUGCGAAAGCGUGGGGAGCAAACAGG
rnacentral:rRNA from 1 species